UGUGUGUGUGUGUGUGUGUGUCCUCUGAUGGCCUGGCACGCCGCUCCGGGUGUCCCGCCUUCUGUCCCGAGCGGCCUGGGAUAGGUUCCAGGCUUACUGUGUGAAGAUGGAUGAAGACGACUCAAAUGAAGAAGUAACACACUGUUAGCAGGAUGAAAGCGAUUUGACGCAAAGGUCUCAUAAACAUCUGAGCCCCACUCGGGACACCAGGAGAACCAAGUAUUACAGCUUUCUCAAACAUCAAACCCUGAUUGCUAUAAUCGUUCACGUCAUAAAAGUUCAGUCUCUGCAGUCUGCUGAUCCCCGCAGCUUCACGUCUGGAAGGCGAUUGACGGCAGCUGCCGCUUGCUCCUCACAUCCACAUCCCCGCUGGCACCGCCUUCUUGUCACAACUGCCAAUCGACUGACACCAUAUAGGAAGAAUUAAUAAUGAUUGGAGGAGUGAGUUGCCACUCACCAGCCAUCAGCCAGUAGCUCACAAGCACCUGACACUCUGGGUUCUGUGUGCAGUCUUUAAAAACCUUUCUAUCUACUACUGGUGUAGUGAAAUUAUUUUAUUCCACCACUAGGGGCUUCUGGUCACAGUCGGAACAUUGCUUUAAUCGCAGCUGACGUACUGUUUAAACCUAAAUGAUGGACUGAGCUUUAUAUGUGACCAUGAGCACAAAGAGAGACCUAUUCUGCGUAAAAACAAUCUGAAGUAGCUUGCAAAACCACCCUCUUACAUUUAGUUAAAACCAUUUAGGCUCAGUGUCAUUAAGUGCCAUCAAAGUGGCUUACACAGAACACAGAACACAGAACAGAUCUGGUUCAUGUAAUAAGGGGCAAUGUCGGAACUCUCGGUGGUGAGUUAAAACACAAUGUGUAUCUCAGUUGCUCAGGUGGUAUUUGGUUGCUCAUCUAGUCUUGGGGGAGACUGAACUGGGAGUGGGCAGAACCUUCUUGAGGAGGGAUUCCUGGCAGCAGAUGGGAGACCGAAGUUAUAAUAUGUAAGUCUAAAAUUGCAAGUGAAAACAUGAGUAUACAGACACAGAGAUUAAUUCCUGAAACAAUUAAGGGAGAUCUGAGAAGAGUGGAAGGGGUUUGAGAUGGUGAGCAGAGCCAUGUUACAGCGUGAAGAUGGCACUGGGGUGAAGAUGAAUGGGCAGAUUGGCUGCUUACGUCCUGCACCAUGGGGGCCCAUAUCUCCUCCUAUAUCUUCCCCGUUCCAUCUUAAAAGGUGGUGAUCAGUCGGAGCAUUAAGGACCUAGAAAUACAUUGUAGGAAGACAAUGUCAGAAAGGAGUGGAUCUAAUGUCACGGAUUUAAUGGUUCCAGAAGUGAUGAUUGCAGAAACAGGGGUAGAAUAAAAGUAGAAGAGAGGGCAGACAGUGGAGGACAUUAAAACUGGAGGGAGAAACAAACCGUGAAGAUUAUUUGUGUCAACACAUUGCUACCAGAUGAGACUCAGAAGAGACUUGCAGAGUGAUUCAUAAGCUGAAUAGAGACAUAGCGUAUGUCGUCCUCACUUUGCAUGUCUUUCCCUUGUCUUUGCGGCGACACACAGACAGAAAACAUAAGAACACGCUGACAGGACUCCUUGAUGACGUCACUUCACCUAAACUAGUACUGUCCAUAACAAAAGAAUCUGAGUGUCUGAUUGCCAUCUCUGUUACGAUGCUGGACUGCAUAUCUGUAAACUUGUGAUUUUACAGUGUCGCGCACUGAAUUUUAUUUAUUUAUUUUGCAAAACAGUGUUCAUAUAAUUUAACAAAACAUUGAAUAUAGUUUCCGGUCUAUUUUUUUUUAUUAUUUUAAAAUUAUUAAAUUUGUGAAACAACUAUACAGUAUUUCAAUUAUACAGUGAAUAAUAUGUAUGAACACAUGUAUGUCGACCUGGGCCUUCAGUCGAAUGUGAAUUUCUAGAUAUUAAAAUAUUCGAACUGAGAUGUAUUCUUAAAUAGCCCUUUUAUAACAGAGUAAUAUGUAUUCAUUAAAUGAUUUACUGUUUGUGUAGUGGUGUAUUAGAAUACAAUAUAUAGGUUUGAACAAGAAUGCUUAACGUAACAUCCCUUAUGUUGUGCUUACUUUUACGUAUUACAUUAUUUUGGCAGUCCAUUCAACCAGAGACUGAAC